rnacentral:rRNA from 1 species
AAGGGAUAGGGUCGGUUCGGCCGGAUUUCACACAGGUGUUGCAUGGCUGUCGUCAGCUCGUGUCGUGAGAUGUUGGGUUAAGUCCCGCAACGAGCGCAACCCUCAUCCUUAGUUACCAUCAGGUAAUGCUGGGGACUUUAAGGAAACUGCCAGUGAUAAACUGGAGGAAGGUGGGGAUGAUGUCAAGUCACCAUGGCCCUUAUGGAGUGGGCUACACACGUGCUACAAUGGUGGCUACAAUGGGCUGCAAAGUCGCGAGGCUAAGCUAAUCCCUUAAAAGCCAUCUCAGUUCGGAUUGUACUCUGCAACUCGAGUACAUGAAGUUGGAAUCGCUAGUAAUCGUGGAUCAGCAUGCCACGGUGAAUACGUUCUCGGGUCUUGUACACACUGCCCGUCACGCCAUGGGAAUUGGUUUCACUCGAAGCUAACGACCUAACCGCAAGGAGGGAGUUAUUUAAAGUGGGAUCGGUGACUGGGGUGAAGUCGUAACAAGGUAGCCGUAGAAUCACUAGUGAAUUCGCGGCCGCCUGCAGGUCGACCAUAUGGGAGAGCUCCCAACGCG